ensembl:lncRNA
CUUUGCUGCGACCGCCAUAUUUCUUCUUUUCCCGAGGUGGAAGCUUAUUAAUAUUGGAUUUCUUUGCCCGUGUGGUUCUUUCUGGAACAUUUUCCAGACCCCAACCAUGCCUUAUGGCAUAUUUCUUGGAAAAAAUUACACCAAAAAUUCAUAAAAUAUUUUUAAAAACCUAAACUUUCUUCUAGUAUUUUCUUGACACCUUCUCAGUAUUUUACAGAUACUUGGGGCUAUUUUAAGGCAAUUUUCCAUUUUAAAGGACGUUUUCUUUGGAAUGAUUUUUGGUUGACUCCUCUGGUUUUUUGUGGUUUCUUUUUCUUUUUCUCCUCCUUUUCUAUAUUUUUUGCCCAUCGGGGCUGUGGAUACCUGGUUUUAGUGAGUAUAUAGCUAGGUGGAUAGAUAUAUUAUUAUUGUUAUUAUUUUUUACCCAACGGGGUCAUGGAUACCUGCCUUUUAUUUUAUUUUUUUUAAACUUGCCCAUCGGGGCCACGGAUACCUGCUUUUAAUUUUUUUUUCCCCCUUAGCCCAUCGGGGCCUCGGAUACCUGCUGUGUACCCCCUCUCUCCCUAACCUUCUGGCCCAUCGGGGCAAUGGAUACCUGCCUCUUUUUUUUUUUGUUUUUUUGCCCAUCGGGGCCUUGGAUACCUGCUCUAAUUUUUUUUUUUCCUUGCCCAUCGGGGCCUCGGAUACCUGCUUUAAUUUUUUUUUCCUUGCCCAUCGGGGCCGCGGAUACCUGCUUAGAUUUUUGUUUUAUACCACCCAUCGGGGCUUUAUAUGGUUGGAAAAGUGUUGGGUUUUGUGGUUCCUUGUACUAUCUGGAAUGUCUACAAAAUUUUGCUGCUAAUCGUUUGUGUUGUGUGAGUGGACCUACGGCUUUGGUUGGGAGAUGACUUUGCAGUUAGGCUAGAGGGUUAGUUAGGCUGGGGAGGAAAGAUGGCGGCCACUUCAGAUUUGCCGCCCAGCUUGGCUGAGGGGUAGCUGUGCUAAGUAUCACUAGGAAGGGAUGAAUUCUGAGCUGGUUCCCCCCCACUCAAGAGGAAGGAUGGAUCAAGUUUAGGUGGAGUGAAGGCUGCACUGGACAGCAUCCAAAGGACAUUCCAAGCAUAUCAGACCUGAAGACUGCAAGCAACUUUAAGAAGCUCCAUAUUCAGCAGGGCUUUCCUUUUGAGAAUCUGAAUAAGCUCCAAGCAAUCUAAUAGGAUGGCUUGCAGUUUCCCUGGAGAAAAAGCUCCUGGUUGUUCCCUUCAUAUUUGCCAAAUCAUUAUCUUUCCCUGAAGCAGUGCAAAGAGCAAGAAAUGUGAACACACCAAGGAAGAUCAACGUGCCUGGCAUGCUAGCAUUUUAGAAUAGCAGAAUGAAUGUGUAUUUGUUUGCUUGUCUAUUUCUUCUUUGAAUGUUUUUGGUCUUUCUUGUCUAAAGUAUGUCUUACCCAUUUCCAUGAUUCUCUUGCUCGUUUCUUCUCUGUGUAUCUUUGUCUCAUUUACUUUUUUGUACCCAGGAGUGGUCUGUGUCUUGUCUUGAAUGUCUCUCUCUAGUCUUCUUCAUUUUGUUGCUGAUUCUACUUGCUCUGCUAGAUCUAGCUCUUCUUUCACUGUUCUCUUUGAGCCUCUUGAGUUAUGUGUGCCUUGUGCUCAUUUCUUGCUACGCCUGCCUCUCUUCUUUUUCUCUUUGUGAACUCUGUCACCCAUUCCCCUUGUUGGUUUGACAUUUUACCUUUUCUGAUACUGGCUACCCUUCUGCUGUUUCUACUCUUUAUCGUGCAUAUUUCUCUUUUCUACAUAUUCUUUGUGCCUUUCUUGGGCCAUUUUCUCUUUUUUUCCCCAUGCUUUGUGUGCCCCAGUGUCUCUUUGUUCUUUGUGGUUUUCAGUUUCAGCAUUCAUCUCUGUUCUCUUGGUUCUUCUCUCGUUUUGCCUUUCUAUUCACUUUUGAGUAUUUCUUUAGUCUAUGUCUCCCCCUCUUCGAUUUCAUGCAAUUCUCUCUCCUUGCAUAUUUUUUGUGCUUGUGUGUGUGUGUGUGCUCUUUUGUGUGUUUGUAAAGGCGCCUCCUAACUGCUUCCAGUAGGUGCAGAGUGUCAGCUAUCAAAAUAAGCAUUGCAGAGCUGUUCCUUAUGCCAGGCCACCCUGUGAGAUGAACCAAAACCAACAGAAGGUCCAAGGGUCUAGACUGGAGUUGGAUAGAAGACUCAAGUCUCAGUGAGACAGAAGGCCAAAGACCCAGGAUGGGAUUAAAAAAACCUGUCUUGAAGACCUGUGACCCAAAAGAUGGAAGUGCCCUAGCACGCAUAAAGACCCAGGACUCAAACCUAUCUAUAUAAGACAGAAGGCCCAAGAGAGACAGAUAUUUCAAGACUAAAUUAGAUGGAAACUGGAGGUUCAUGACAGAGAUACCAGGAAAGAAAGAAGCCCCAGGACCAAAGGAAAUUCCAAGAUGAGACUCUUAAACCCCAGCUCUUUUUUAUUGCUAACCCUACUCUUGGACAUUUUGAGUUCUCCCUUCCUUCUUCUCAUGUCUCCAUUUAUAUCUACUUCUUUUGAGAUGUCCUUUUUGAUGUUGCUGUUACCUUUAAAAAAAAACAUAUCUUUAGAUCAGUAAUAUUAUGCUUUGGCCUGUUUUUAUUACAGUUUUGAGCCACUUAUUAAGUUUUUGAAGUUUUAAACUUCCAUUUCUCUUCGCCUCUCCACUUGUGAGGGACACAUAGCUGACAUUAUAUUUCAGUCCCCUCUUUCCUCAGAAGCUCUAGGCUAAUGAGAGAAGGAAAGUAUCAGGUUCAGUUAUUGAGGGGAAACAAAGUGCCAAGCUAAGUAGAGAAAAUGUGAAGAGAUGCUCCACAGGCCAAUGAGAAUUAGACAAGAAAUACACAGAUGUGCCAGUUUGCUGAGAAGUGUGAGCCAGCAACAUGUUACUUAUUUGAGCUUGGGUGAGCAGGACACCUGAGGUUUGGGAUUCUUAUUGAUGGUUAUGAAGGAGGAUUGGGCCUAACACAUAAUGAGGCCCCAAGGAAGGAGUGUGAACUCCCUGCUCAUAGUAGUGGCCUAAUAAUGUGGUAAGCUGCAUAAGUUUUAUGCCUCGGUUUAAUACCCACCUCUAGGCCUAAAGGUGAGAAAAUUUGGGAAUAUUUAGCAGGUUUAAUCCUUUCAUUGAUUUUUUUCCUUUUACCAUAAGGAAAGUUAAUUUUAGUGAUAAUAUAUAUGAAAGCACUGUAAAACACAAAAAAAGCAAGACAUUCUCAUUAAUAAUGUAUUGGCACUCAUGCAUAGCUAACAUUUGAAAAUGCAUUGUCAGUUGUGAAGCAUUAUGUAAAUCAAGGGUUAUCACACCCUUUUUGUAAAGGGUCAGAUGGCAAUUAUUUUAUACUUUGCAGGCCAUAUGGUCUCUCUCUGCUUUUUUUUCGUUUAAAGUGAAUAUGGUCUGUGGGCCACAGUUUAUCACCCCUGAUGUAAUUUGCCAGGGACUGUGUGCUGAAUGAUAUUAAUUUCUUUCUUUGUGCCUGUCCCUGUAUGCAUUAAGGAUGCAAUGAUUACUUAUGGUCAUAUCCAGGUGAUAUGAAGAAAAAUAUAUGAAUGUGAGUUAUAAACUAUUAUGCACUUUAAAAGCUUGUCGCAACUUUCAGAGUUGAUGAAUGAAUAUUACAUGGUAUAUACAUUUCUAGGCACUGUAUAUACAAAGAACAAAAGUGUGAAUAAAGUACUUUCUCAAAAGUAUGAAAUACUGUACAGAUAUUAGGAAUUAAGUCUAUGAUAAAUGAGUAAUUCAUGUAUUUGUGGCCAUUGUGUUUCUGUGGCUCUGAUGAUUUUGAGUAAAGAUGUAGUAUUCCAAGUCACAGAAAAGAAAACAUUGUUCAGUUGCUAAGUCGUGUCUGACGCUUUGUGACCCCAUGAAUUGCAGCAUGCCAGGCUUCCAAAUCCUUAAACUAUAAAGUAUACUGCAAACACAAGGGAUUUAAGCUAUUGUGAUUACUUAUAAUGUGCCAGAUAACAUCCUGGGCACUACAGAUGUCAAAGGAAAAAAAAUGUUGUUAUUAUAGAAUGAUUAAAAAUUUUAGAUUUUAAAGUGCUUUGUACUAAAGCACUGUAUAAAUACCAAUGGGCUAUAUGUUUAUGAAUGAAUGAAUAAGUAUUAAUUUCCUUAUAUAUGCCAGCUAUUGUUUCAGGUACUGUGAAAUCCAAGACAAUGCUCCCAAGUAAUAAGAGGGAUGUUUAUGUCCUAUACUACUUAGACAUAAGGAAUUAGAUAUUACUUAUUUUAAUCAAUAAAGACUUUACUGAUGAUGUUGAGCUAAAUUAUUACCAGUAUAUUUUCCAAGGUAACAGGAAAAUGUAAUGAAUGAGAUUGAGCUUUCUAACUAUAAAAUGCUACAUAAAUAUAAAACAUUAGGUGUUUUCUUUGUGAACAAAACUUAUGUUGAGACAGACAUUUGUUUGUGUGUGUUAGUCAUUCAAUCAUGUCUGACUCUUGUGACCCCAUGGACUGUAACCCACCAGACUCCUCUCUCCGUGGAUUUCUCCACACAAGAAUACUGAAGUGGGUUGUCAUUCCCUUCUCUAGGGGAUAUUCUUGACCCAGAAACUGAACUCAGGUCUCCUGCACUGCAGGCAGAUUCUUUACCAUCUAAGCUAUAGAUGCUCAUUGUGUGCUUGACCCACUAUGAGAAAGGUAGUAUAAAUCUCUCAGUAUACAAACUGAGAGUUUAAAUACUUGGUAAAUGAAUGGGUCAUUAAUAUUAGUUGCCUACUAUGUGAACUCACUGUUAUAGGCACUAAAGAGACACACAAAUUUAUUAUUUUAUUGUGCCUACAGCUGAGAAUAGGCAAUACACAUGUUAAUAUUUUGUGAACUCUAAAAGCACCAUAUAAGUGUAACUAUUGAUUUCCUCAGUUGGUAUGCCUAAUACUAGGCUUGCAAAAUUGUUUCAUAGUUAUUAUACCGUGAAAAAAGUCAGAAAAAAUUUGAGCAAGGAUUGUUAAUUAUUGAACACUUCAAAUAUGAUACAUAAAGGACUAAAUGUCUGAUGAAUGCAAGACUGGAUGAUAAUUAUGUGCCAGUCUCCUUGAUAAGCAUAAGAGAUAUGAAGAUAAUCCAUCUUUACUGUGUUCUGGGCAGCAGAAUGUAAUAUAUAAAAUCAAUUUGUAGGUCUUAAACUGGCAUACAUAUAUAAGCCAUAUCUGCUGAAUGAACACUGAUUACUUACUCUCUCUUAUUCCGAGAGAGAGCAACUAAGGAUGCAAAAAUUCAUUGUCAUUAUUGUUGAACCUGCAACAGAGAUCUGUGUAAAUUUUACAAAGCUUACUGUUCUAUACAGAUCUAAAGAAUUAACUGUUGACUUAAUGAAUGGUUACUGAUUACUUUCUAUCUAUAAAGCUCGGAACUGUGUAUGCUCUAGGAUAUAAAAAUGACUCUCCUUAUCAGAUGGUGUAAAUAACAUGUGUGGGAAUCCAGACUAAAAGUUGCUUAACCAUUGCUCAGCUUAUUUGAUGAUAAAAAUAUGGGCAGAAUGGAAUUGUGCAAGGCAGUAUGCUGAAUGCUGAGCUAGGUGGAAAGAUAAAAUCCAGACCAGAAGGCCACUUGCUCCCUGGCUUGACUGAAGGAAUGGAAUUUUUUUGUUUCUUUGUUUAAAGAGCAAGAUGUUAUCAUUCUCCAUUGGUCUUUUAAAUGCUGAAGAUGGAGGUGAAUUCAGUCCACUCUGGCCUGGCAUAGAGACACUGAAAGAGUAAAAAAUGGUUCAGGUUGGCUUUUAGAUUAAUUUGAUGAACAGUGUCUUUUAUGUAAAAUACAUCAUUCUAGGUCCUGAGCAUAAGAGAUAUGAAAUGGGCCUAGUCUAAAGGGCUUUAGAUAGAUCAAAGAUCAUAACUGAAGAUCCAAAAACAUAUUUGAGUUUUGAGUAAAUAUUUGAGUUCCCGUUCCCUAGAUCCUAUUCCUGUUCCUUGAAUUCUUGUUCCUAUUUUCUUGGUUAAGUCUGGUCCAGAAAACCUAUUGACUUUCCUUGGAAACUUAAAAAAUAGAAAAAAAAAUAUUGUUCUUUCAAUGUAAAAUGAAGAUAUAUUUCUUGGCUCUAGAAAGUAUCAAUGUCAUGUGCUCAUUGACCUAGAUUGAAGCCAGAAGAUUAAUAAAAGGCCUCAGAGUUUGUCCUUUAAUUCAUUAAUAUUCUGUUUUUAUUAUAGUUAAAUGGGUAAGAUGACAAUUAGGAUUAUUAUGGCAUAGAGUCAGGAAGAUGAUAAAAAAGAUCCUUCCUAGAUUUUCCAUAUUUUGUAAAUUAUUCACUUGAAUGAAGUACUGUUCUUAAGUCCUGAGGAGAAUGAAGAGAUUUAAAUGACCUAGACCAAAAUAUACUUUAAUUUCACUAGUUCAUGGAGGACACACAAGAACAAAUUUAAUAGGAGAUUGCAAUUCUUUCAUUAGUUGGAAAAACUAAAGUAGCUGUGAUGUUAAGAUACUGAGAUGGAAUGAUUAAACAGAUCACCUUCUCUUUGGCAUGUUUUGUAGAGAAGGAAUAAAAAAGCUUUUCAGUUAUUCAUACAAGCAUUGAAGAAGGUGAUGCUAAAUGAAAUAGAUCUGGUAAAAAGGUAAUUGUCUUGGAGAUGCAGUUAAAAAAACAUGAAAUGGAGUGAAACUUCAUUGAAUGAGUGUCUAUUUCAAGGCAUUGUGCUAAUUCCUAGACAGAAAACAAAAUAGAUUUUGACUGAAAGACACUUACUUGACUUGGAAACUGGUAUAUAAGAGAAAAGGUUAUUGUUAAUUAAUUUUUAAAAUUUAUUCAUUCAUUCUGCAAGUAUGUUUGAGUGCCUAUUGUAAAUAAGCUCCUUAGCUGGAUUCUAGCUGGGUUCUCUAGCUAGCCCCCAGAGAGAGACAUGAGAAAAUGAAUGCCUUCCCAGAGAACUUAAAAUUUGCCCUUUGGCCUGUUUUCUGAUCAGGCCAUUUCUAAAUGGCUUACUUCCUCAAUAAUAUUAUGUGGUUUAAUUUCUACUCCAUCUUAAGCCACUCUGGCCACUACAAUAAGCAGGGGUUUUUACUGAACUUGCUCCUUCAGUUGCAGGAUCCUUCCUUAUAAUAAAACACUUCAGUUUUCCUAACCCAUCCCUCAUGAAAACUGGUUGUGACCAUAGUGAGCCGAAAGAGGGAUGAGAAGCAACUGAUUCCCAAACUUCAGUCUCGUUGGUACCAACACUGAAGAACCACUCAUACUCAAAUCACAAUUGGUUUUGAAACACACUUACAGUUUUGUCUAUGACAAAUAUACACUGCAUAAGUCUUUUUAAAAAACAAUCCUCCAAUAUUACUUAGCAAGUUUGGAGAUGGAGACAUGAUUUGUGUUUUGCAACAACAGCUUCUCAACUAACAACUUAGAAAUCUUUCCUUUUUCACCAUCAAAACCUGCUUAAGAUAAGCCUUGAAAAUAGCCUAACAAUUUUACCAUGCUUAAGUCUUAAGAAUAAUAGAAAUUGAAAGUAUUUGGCAAAUAUUGGAGGGAAAAAAAAAUCUACAUAUAGGCCCAAAUGGGCUUUGGCCUUUUCUAUUUUUAAAUCACUCACAGAGGGUGGGAUAGGAGGAAGAGUGAAAGAAAAGGUCAAGCCUGAUUCUAAAAAGGGUUGGUCUUAAAAGCAUUGCUACCUCCAGAUCUAACUUGGGGAUUGCUGUUCUUAGUGUAAUUCAAUUUUAAUAACUGGUCACUGUUAAGAUGAGGACAAAGUCCUUUGUCCCUACUCAUUUCUAAAAGUUUGGCUUAAUGGCUAUCAGUUAAGCCUGGGGUUAUAUAAUUAUGGAAUUUAUUAAAUCUAUGUGACCUCUCCAUCAUAAGGUAGUCUUAAAGCUAAAGUCAGUCCACUACAUAGAAAGAGGACUUUAUCAUUCACUGUAAUUCAUACAUACUUUCAAAGCAUCUAAACUUUAAAGUUUACAUGGCAAGACAACAAUACCAUCUGUAAAUAUAGAAGGAAAUAGAAGAAUGGCAGGAGAUAGUUGAUGGAGGUAGCGAAUUUGAAGGUCAUUUGCGGUAAUGUUUGUAGUUUUUCCUUUGUACAUUUUUACUUAGGUGUAAGGUGUAUCUGAUAUUAAUAAUGUUUGUUGUUUAAUAUGUACUAUUAGCUGGACUCAGUAACUCCCCUUUCUCCAGGUAGGGAUGAGAGAUGCAUUAUUGGAAAGGAGAAAGUAACAGUCUUCGUUUCACAGUUUCUGGCAUCCCAAGGCCACCACUACUGAUAAACAAGAAUAACAGAACAUUCUGUCACCUGAUUUUUGUGGCAUAAAUGAAAUUGUGAACAAAUUUUUUUCUUAAGAAGAAGAAAUGGCUUUACAUCUACCCUUUUACCUUAAAAGGAUCUGUGCCAAAAUGCUCUGAUGAAUGGAAGACACACUUGGACUUGUGAACUGAUUUGAAACACAUAAUAUCUAAGCCUUGGUUGUUUUGAAGAUUGAAAAGUCUUGUUCAGUUCGGAUAACCACCAAAAAAGCAACCUAAAGCUGUCUAUAUGUCACAACUGAGACAAAUUGGGGAGUUUGUUUAAUGUCAAAUAAAAAU